rnacentral:lncRNA from 1 species
UAUUAUAUAAUCACUAGUUAUAAGCUACUUUACUUAAAAAAAUUACACAUUACCUAAACUAAACUUACAUAGGCGGUUGCCAGGAUAUCGCUCUUAAACAUUUCUUCAAUGCCCUUGGUUAAAACCAAAUCUAUAUUUCUAUAUAGCACAAAGAUGGCCAACAUAAAAGUAGGAAGACCAAACUCCAACAUAUCCACAUAAUGCAGGUAUGCAUUCCAUAUUUAAAUUGCUAAAUGUAAAUUCACUUAGGCAAAUUUCAUGCGCGAGGAGAGUUUAAGGGCUAAUAUCUUUAACUAGAAUGCAGAACAAGUGCAAUCAGAGAACGCAAGCUACUUUGAAGAAACCGGUUACUAGGCUCAUAAUGCCAGUUACUAAACAAAAGCCAUUAUGGGCAAUUUCUCAAUCACCAUCAUAACAAAACCAAUCAAAUUGCAAGAACAAUAAUAAACUGCAACUAAGAACUAACAUAACUCUACUCUGACUCAGUUAAAUUUAGCUUAUAGCGACAGUACCUAUUGGUUUUCCCUGUCUCCACAAUCUCCUUCGCCUCUGAAAUCAUGCCUUCGUUCACCAGUUUAUCCACCACAAGUUGCAGCAAGGACACGUCAACAAGGAACCGUUUGUUAAAAAUCUCCUUGCAUAACUCAAUUGCAGUUUUCAAAUCACCCUUCUCACACAGGAAGGGAACAAGGAUAGAAUAAGUCUUUUUAUUAGGAUCAAAAUCAGAGUUUACAAUCUCACCAUACCAGCUCUUGACCUCAUCCAAAUUAUCCUCAUUUACAAAAGCUCUGAUGAUGGCAUUGAUGCAAAAGAGGUCCGGCUUCACUCCUUUUUUCUCCAUUUCUCUAAAAAGCUCAACAGCUUCACCCGCUUUCUUCUCCCUGGCCAACCCGUACAACCUGGAACAAUAACUCCUCACGUCAGGAGCAACAUUUUUUGCUCCCAUUUGCCCCCAUACUUUUUCAGCCUCCUCAAAAUUACCCUUUGAAUACAACCCAUCAAGCAAAGUGUUAAACGUGAUGGAAUCAGGAUUCACCCCCUUCUCCUCCAUCUCCUUAAAAAUUGAGAGUGCUGAAUCAAAGGAACCCUUUUCACAAAAGGCCUUAAUGAGAGUGUUAUACGACACCAAAUCAGGCUCGAUUGAGAGCUGAGUGGGGAGGGUCCUGAAAAGCUCAUCAACCACGUCGAACUUCUUGGAGUGGAGGUAUGCGGCCAAGAGGGCAUUGAGAGAGAGCACAGUGCGUUCGCAGUUUCGCUGGGGCAUUUCGUCGAACACUAUGCGCGCGUGUUUGGCCAUGCCAGAUUUGCCAUAAAGGGAUAUUAGGCGUGCAGAGAAACCCUCGUUGGAAAUGUCGGAAUACUGUUUUUGGUGUUCGAGGAUGUCGCGAACCCACCGAAAGCGCUUGGCACCGGCGAGACGCCGCACUGUCUCCUCGUAAAUGCCAGUUUUUUUCCGGAACCGGUCAAUGUCAGAAGCUUUCUUGAACUUCUCUACCAACCUCUUUAACUUUACUUCUUUGUAUAAAUCCUCCGAAAUAGACUUGAUGCUCACUGUUGCUGGUUCUGCGGCAGUGCAAAAAGCACGGUGAAGAAUGCGAUACAUUUUGGGAUAAACACUGGAGAAAAAAAAGGUCUGGUAUACCACUGAGAACCCUACAUAAUGGAGUCAUUGUUUUUGCAAAAGUUUUAAAGUUGGGCUUGGAGAACAUUCGGCCCAAACAUUUUGGACGAUCUAUUUUAGGUUUUUCCUUGUGCAUCUCAAAAUUCUUGAGCAUCUCCUCUUUUUAAAAUAUACUAAGGAAAGAGGUGUCCUAGAAUUUUAUAGGUAGUAAAUCCUCUGUUUGAGCUCCCUAUGACUGUGAACAAUUAAAAAGAUUUUGUUUUUAUGACCUUUUUUUCUUGCAUCCAUAAUUUUUCUUUAUGGACAUUGUAUAUAGUAAACUAGUUAAUAUAACGCGUGAACUUAAAAGAUUUUUGAAAUGACCACAGGAGGAAUGGUUACUCUCAGGGGCUCUUUUAGUUUGUUAGAUUUUUGAAAGAAUGAUAAUGAAGAAUGGGUUGUUGAAAAUAUGAGAGUAGUGUUGGAGAGAAGAGGAAAAAGGAAUGGAGGUGAGGAGUUGUGGUUGAGAAUAAGGUUUGAGAGGAGUUGUAGUUUAGUUAAAUGAGGAGAGUGGAUUAUAUGCUUUCGGGUUUUUUAUAAUGUGCAUUACCAUUAGUGAAUAAGGUGUUGCAUCUUAUUUGAUUUUCCAUUUCUCUUUAUAGGCAAGAAUAACAGUGGAACUGAAAAUAAAAUCAGAGGACAUUUGUUAUUGCUUGUGCUUUUCUUAAGAUGAAAAGAAAUUAAGACAAGAUAUAUUAACUAAGAAAUUAAGACAAGAAAUUAAGACAAGAUAUAUUAACUAAGAAAUUAAGACAAGAUAUAUUAAAAUUAAGAAAAGAAAUCAGAGAACUGAAAAUCACAUUUGUUUAUUAUCAUGUGAAGAUAAAUGUCUCAUAAUUUUUUCUAAAACAUCAGGUAAUUAACACCAUGAUAUUGUGUAAGGUGAAUGUAGUUAUCUCUUAAAGUUUGUAUUUGGUUGACCUUAUGGUUAUUUAUUUAUUUUUUUUGUUGUAGAACUUGAGAGAAAUCUUCUUGAUGUACAUGUAAAUAACAGUUUAAAACUAGAUGUAUAACUUAGUCUUUCGUUAUUGGUACAUCUUAUUAAGCAUUAAUGGUUAAUCUGAUAUAUACUUCAAUGUUUUCUGGUAUGUUUCUAUUAUAGAAAGUGAAGGACUUGAGAUAUCAACCAAUACUUGAUACUGAAAAUUC